CCGCCCGGCCCUGCUCACCAGCCCGAUGGCCCCCGCCGGCCCCGGGGUGGCAGAGCCCAGAGGUGGACGUGGCCGCCGUGCAGCAGGCCCUGAGGGAGCUGGUGCGGCAGCGGCGCCAGGCCCAGCGGGAGCGGGACACCUGGCGCUCCCAGGUGGCCAGCCUGGGCUGCCAGCUGCGGGAGGAGCAGAGGGAGCGGGCCCGGGCCCAGAGCCAGGUGGUGCGGCUGCACAGGGCGCUGGCCCGGGCGGAGGAAGGCUGGCGCCCGGCAGAGGGGGAGGCGGGUGGCGCCCAGGCCACAAGGGCCCUGCAGGAGGAGGCGCUGCAGAGGCUGGAGGCGGAGCACCCGGUGAGUGAGCGGUCCGCGGGCCAGGAGAGGAGGUGGCUCCAGGUCCAGGGGCCCCUGUGCCCGGUCCCUGCUGUCAGUCCUGUGUCCCACGUUGCCUGAUGCGGCACGGCCCACCACCCACCCUUUCCAACCCGCCGCCCACCUCCCGCCAGCCUGGCUGCGUUUCCGCUCCACCCCGGGUGUUUGCCUCUCCGGGGGGAGCUUGUCCCUCUCACAGCCAUCGUGGAGACUUGUUUCGUCCCUCUGCUGUUAACACUUCCUCACGCCCUCCGUGCUGUCCUCCAUGUUGGUCGCUUGCCCUCCCCUUCCCUCCAGUGCCCACAUCCUGCCCUCGCCCCUUUCCCUGGUCUGGGGGGCAGGGGAGCGCGGCGGCAAAGUCACGCUGGGCUCGGGGAUGGCAGGUGGCUGCUGGGACCCCUUCCUGCUCCCCGGCCCCCUCCCAGCUGCCGGGUCUCUGCACCUGUGUCCUGGGGGCUCCCGGGCUGCACACCCGCCUGCCCCCUCUUUCUGCUCAGGGCCGGCCAGUCCACGCAGAGCCAGACCUGAGCCCAAGCUCGGUGCACUCCCACUCAGCCAUGGGGGC